rnacentral:rRNA from 1 species
AUGGUGCCGCUGUGGCAGGUGUCGAUGAUGGCGUGGAGCUUCACGCCGGGGCCCAGCGGCCGGACGAUGGUCUCGUUGAUCUCGUCGUCCAGGAUCUUGCCCUUGUCCUCGAAGUCCAGCGGGCACAGGGCCUCGUUGUACCCGUCCACCUCGUCGCCGGCCGUGUCCAGCUUCUGCACGCCGUGCCCGGAGAAGUGGAACACCAGCGAGUCGCCGGCGUCGCACCCCGCCACCAGCCACCGCAUCGCCAGCAGCAGGUUCUCCCUCGUCGGCACUCUGCUCGGGUCGUCACUCUCCUCUGCCACAAGCACAAACGCAUCGAUCGUACAUCAGAUGAUGAUGAGAUACACUUGCUCACUUCUCGAUGGCUUCUCGGCCGAUGUUUUCUUUCGUGAACGGAUUCUGGGAUUAAUCACUACCGGUGAGGACGAGGAUGGAGUCGCCGGGGAAACCAAACUUGUCGCAGAGGAGGUUCCUCAUCAGCUCGACGUCCUUGGCCGUGCCCUUGAGCCCGUAGGAGGUGCCCGUGUAGCUGACGCCGACGAGGACGGCGCGCUUCUUGCCGCGGGACGCCGGGUAGCCGGCCGGCAGCUCGAGCCUGGCGGAGCGCGCCGUCCGCGGCGGCGACAGGGGCGCGAGCGCGCUCGAUGCGCUGCCCACGCUGCGGUGCCGCUCGACGCGCGUCACGCGGCGGCAGAGCGCACACCGGACGCCGGAGCUCGGCCCCGCCGGCGGCGCCGCGAUGCCCGCGCCGCAGUGCUUGCACCACGACGUCAUCCUAGGCGGCCCGGUGUUGCCCAUGCCGCGGAUGAAAGCUGA